GACGGAAGAGAGGUGGGAACUCGAAGGCUAUCUCGUCGUUUUGGGUUGCUGGGUCCAUUUUCGACGAGGAAGUGAAGAACUGGUGAGAGGGAUUUUCUGGGUUCCUACGAGAGAGAGAGAGAGAGAGAGAGAGAGAGAGAGAGGUAGGUAGUAGUNNNNNNNNNNNNNNNNNNNNAGAGAGAGAGAGAGGGUGAUGUGAAUGCUUCAGGUGAUAAAAGGUGAUAAAAGGUGAUGCUAAAAAUGGGAAAGUGGUUUACCCGUCCAAAAUAUGGUAGUAUAUUUUAUUUUAUUUUUUAUGAAAAAUACUUAAAAUUAGAUAACCGAAUCUCUAGGUCAUCAAGAAUUUACAAUAUCAAAUACAAGAAUAUGAAUAGCCUCAAUAGGAACUCUAUUCACCCAAGUAUUAUCAUUGGGCAAAGAAUGAUCUAGGUAUACUAUUGUAUCAGCUACAAAAUUUACCUUCCUAAAAACAUGUCUAAAAGAGAUGGACACAAACUGAGUCGCUAAUGAUUUAAUAUCUUCUACUAUUUUGAUAAGUCUCCAAAGAAGAUCAAAGACCUCAUUAACUGCAUCAAUGACUAGCUUGGAGUCUCUACUAAAAUAUGGUAGUAUAUGGCUUAUCUUCUUCUCCAAUAGUUUGGUGGGCAUGCACCAUUUCACCUCCAUAUUUAUCCUAUCUGUUUUUUUUUUUUUUUUUUCCUUCUCAAAGAAGGAUAUUUAUCCUAUCAGUUUUGUUCAUACAUGUAUCUUGGGAUGCAAUACCCCAAGUCCCCAACUCACUACUAGGAAAAAAGAAGAGGGUCAUGAAAGACAUAAUGUAAUAGUAACGUCGUUACAUUGUUCAAAGUGAGGGCCGAAGUGGCUUCAUUAGCUUGUGAAGUUUAGUUGCGUAAUGAUCUUAAAAGAAUCACUCUGUUGGUACAGUUUUGUAGAUUGUUGAUCCACAACUCAUUAGAUGAUCUUGUUAAUUUUUUUUUUGUCAAAUUUGAAUUUGACAUCUUACAUGGCAAAUGAUAUUUUGCUACAAUUUCUCCUCCAACCAAGAUGUCAAAUAUAUGUAUUAUUGUAUCAAGGGAGAAGGAAGAGAGAGAAAUAACAAUAAAGAAAAAAAAGAACCAUUCUCAUGGGCUGUGUCAAACUUGACAAUGUAUCUGAAAAAUGUCAUCCAUGUGGAUUUGAUACUUUGGUUGGAAAAGAUUACAUCAGUCAAUUAUUACCGUUGCUCUGUCACCUGGCAAAUGACUUGAUCAUUGGAGAUGCUCUUAUAACCCUUUCAUUAUAAAAGAAGUUCUUUUGAUGAAAAUAAGUAACAAUUGCAGUUUUGGUUUUUUUUUUUUUUUUUUUGUUUGUUGUUGAAAAGAAAUGUGAACCAUUAAGUUACGUUUGAUCGGUUAUUGUCUCUUUUUCAGUAGUGUUGCAAGGUCACAAUCAAUCUCUUGGACAACAGUCUGGGGAGCGUAUAGCUGAACAUGUAAGUACGUGGAAACUAAUAAUAUUGUCACUAGGAAUUCCACAUUUCCCACCACUAUAUUUUCUGAGACAAAAUAGAACUAUAUAGGGGAUAAUUUCCUUCCAGCUUUCUGCUUCUUUCCUCUAGGUUUCCUUUUGACUCGGAGUUCACACGACAAUGCCAUAUUUAUAGAAGGCAGGCAACCAGAACAGAGUUCAGUUAUGAUAAGAAGAAGCAAAUUAACAAGGAGCAUGAAGAUGGAGAGCCAAGAAGCUAAUUGUGUGAUUGAGAUCCCCCCUGCUUCUUCUUUUUCUUCCGAGAGGGCUUUGGAGAAUUGGAGGAAGCUAUCUGCUGCCCUCAAGAACCCUAAGAAGCGAGGGUUUCUCUUCAACCCCGCAGCUCGCUCCCGUUGGGUCUGCACCUCUGUUCCUCCCCAUAUUCAUCUUGAGUGUCUUUAAGUUCACGGCACAUUACAUUUCGGUUUCGAAUUAUGAUUUACCAGAGCUUAAAUUUAUCAUUGCUCCUUAUAUAUGCAUUGUGUUUUACUAUUGUAGAUGAAGCAGCAGGAAGAACACGUUCAGACCGCAAUGCAAUUAGUGAAUUCUCACCGUGAUCGGUUGUCUAACAGCAAGUUGCCUUUGCUUGGCACUAGUUCCGGUGAUGAGUCAAGGCAUACAACAAAGGUGUAUAGUGAUCUCAAUCCAUGCCAUAACCUUUUAUGCUGAACAUGUUUAUUUAGCAACUUGUCUUCAGUUGAAAGUUGAAACUAUGAUAAUUUACCAAGGAUUUCAUAUUUUACUGCAUGUAGGCUUCUUCAACAGUAUGGGUCUUUUUACUCACGAACCUCUGCCUAGAGACAUUAUCAGCCAUCUUUGAUCAAAUUGCCUCUCCAAGCAAGCCUGACUAUGCCCUAUUUGGAAUGGUGUUGGCCAUUUCAGCUGUGCUCACUUGCAUCGUGGAGCUCAUUCACAAGGGUAAAAAGGAAGGAGUUGAACUAAAAAGAUGGGGAAAGUUAUGCUGGUUUUAUUAUCCACCUCCCAAUGGCUCACUUUUUGGUACUUUCCCAGAUAUUUGUGGAUUAGUCAUUGCCAUUUCACAGUAUAUUUGCUCUACUCUUCAGUAUGUUUAUCUCUGUAGGCAUGUUAAUAACCCUAUCAAACUCUCCGUUUUGCCGGCAAUCUUUCUUAUUUGCUUGGCUGGUUCAACACUAAUUAGGAACAGAAGCUACACCACAGAUGAGACCUUGAAACAUGCUACUCAUCAUCUUACAAAGACUAAUUAUCUCUGUAGAUUUUGGCAUUCCGUUUAGUACGUUUUAGUUUGUACCAGUCUUAAUUCGCACAGAUUAAUAUAUGUCCACAACCAUCUCUUCAGGUUAUCGUUGUAGAUUGUGGUAGGGGAGACCAAGUAGCUCGGAUGAAGUAUUCAAUUAUCUAUGUAUCUAAUGUAAAGCAAUUUAUCAGUUUAGCUUAAUUAGUAGAGGCUUUGUCAGUGUACUCCAUGCAAAACUUUUGACGGGAGAAAGAGACGAGAGUAAAUGAGGGGCAACAGGUCAAAACGGGUGUAGAAAUCUCCAAAAUACAGGGAAGGGAGGAAUCAUCAGAAUAUCUUCUGCUGAAACACCAAAGACCCUAUGAAUGCCUAGAAGGUUGGCCUUAAAAGUGACAUUCAAGAAGAGCCAGAGCCAGAGCUACUGCCCUUCUGUACCUUUUUUUCACCUACAAUGUAUUAUCUCUGUCUCCAAAAAAUGCAGUAUAUCAACCAAAAUAGAAAGACAAGAAUAUCGAUAGCAAAGGUUGGCAGCGCGCAUGACACGAAAUAUCAACAAAACAAAGUAAUAUACUACAGUAUUUUCUGCAUACAAACCAUUAGCUAGUUCACAUUGGCCACGAGUAAGUACGGUUAUAAUCCCACUACUUCCAGAAAAACUCCUGUUUAGCACUACCAAGUGAAGCAAAAAUACGAAUAUCAUGGUCUUAUGCUGGAUGAUGUGCCCAUCAACCAGAUGUGAAGUUUUCUAGUAAUAGACUAGUAGGGCAUAAUGAAAAGCCUUCUAACAGUAGGGCAUGUAUCCUGCUGGCCUUCUGAACCUUGGAACGUUCCUGCAGAGUAUUUGAAAGUGCAAAAUGAUAAUAUGCAUAAAAAAUAUCACUUGACUAAGAAAAAGCAAAGUAAGAACACCAUACCCAUAUCCAUAGCGCGAAUAGAAGUAACAGGGUACAUAAGGCCCCCUGAAGCAGUUACCCAUAUACAGAUUGUAAGUCCAGGGCGGAAUUGCUUGUAUCCGGGAACGUUGGUCCUUUUAGGCAAAACAUAAUGAUAUAUUACACAAUUAACAAACAUAUGCGAUAAUGAUAUAACAGAAAGCAAUAUUCAAGACCAAUAAUCUAACUAGUAACUGGUGUUGAUGUACUUCUUACUUCUCCGGUUGUUUCAAUAGAUUCACACAACAACAAUAAACAAGGAGCAGAGAGCAAAUAGAGGAUUACCUUCAAUGGCCUUCCAUGCAACUCAGAUUCAUUCAGAGCGAGAGCCUCUUGAACAGCUUCUGCUUCCGGGAAUUCCGCAUAAGCAAAACCCUUUGGUUGGCCACAUUUAUCUGUCAGCAUAAUCACCCUGUUAACUGUGCGAUAUGAUUCAAAAUGCUGCUGUACUUCUUCAGUUGUGCAUGCAUAAGCAACCUGAAAAACAUGAUUUCAUCCGGUUUGAAGCCAGAGUCAGCGGAAGAGACAACAUACAACACAACAUAUGGAAAAAGAAGUGCAUUCUUAACAAGAAGAAAUACCAGAUUUAGGUUGAGUUUUGGGACAGCAUAAAAAACUGUUUACUGUAGUGUUGAAGUAGGUAAAAAAACAGAAACUAUCAUUAACAUGUGUCAAUCAAGCUGGAAAAAGUUCAUUUAUACCUAAUGCACAGCCAACAGAUACACACAGAUAUAAAUUUACAAGAAAAAGGAGAACCUUUUCAAAAUUCAUUUCCCUUUUGAGCUUAUGAAAACCUAUUCGAAUGAUUAUCAUUCUACUACUAGUACCUUCUAUUCUAGACAGCCUCACCGCCCUCAUUCACUUAACCAACAUGAUUUAAUCCAUUAGGCCAGCAAAAUACUAGUACAUUCUCACUGUUACUCUAAAUUGGUACACUAGGGAAUUUUUCCAAUAGUUCUUAUUGCUUCAACUCAAAACACUGUUAUUGAAGAGUAGAAAACACAAGAUUGAAACAAUAGAACCGUCACAACAUCAAAACUAUAGAACCCUCACAACAUCAAAUCUAUAGAACACCCUCACACCAUCAAAACAAUCCCUGAACAAAUUGAAUCCGCCCUGAAAAAAUCAAAGCAAAGAGAAGCCAAAGAACAGUAUAAAAGAAACUCAUACCCAGACUCUUGACUGCCCAUUCCAAGUCUGCUGAAAGCCAUCGUCGGCAUCCAUGGCUGCUCCGUCCAACCUGUAACAGAACCAGAAAGAUUACCAAAUGUAAAAACUGAAAGAAAGAAAAAAAACGGAGAAAGAAAUAGGAGGGAGGCGGCUGAGGGAGAGAGAAGCAGGAUUCCGGCGAGGCGAACAAGAAUCUGGCCGGAAAACAGAGCACCCCAGGGCCUGAUAAUGAAAAGAUCACAGAGAUUGUGAUAGAAGAAGAUUUCAAGAAAUCGAAAGAGAAUUAGAGAGAGGCGGAGGGAGAGGGAUGAGUUCAGAAGACAGGAACGCAGUAAACCCUAGGACGACGAUGAGGAUCUUCUUCUUCGUGGUGAAGCCAGGAUCACCGCGACGACGAGCGCGAGCGAGAGCGCGACGCCUACGGCUUGCUUCGACCUCGGCACAUAACUUUUCUGAGCUUUUCCGACUAUUUUCCAGUGCUUUUCCACAGUGAAUCUUUUCCUUUCUGGACGGCGCAAAGAUAGCUGCCUUUUCCAAAGAACCAAAAUUGAACGCAGUGGGGGAGGCUGGGAGAGUGAGUGAAGAGGAAGAGGAAGAGAGGGAGGGAGAGAAUUAAAGAAACAGAGGGAGGGUUAAUUCGGUUUAUAUAGUCCCCCACUCAACAGCGUGUUUGAUUUGUCUUUUCGAACUUAUCAUUAAUUUUUUUCCACACGCAUUUCUCAAAUUACAUUAAAGUCUCGUUUAGUUGACUCAAAGUAAUUCUAUUGAUAAAAAGCAAAAACCAUUUUGGGUAAUUCGAAUGAAGCGCCUUGGUCUUUUCGGAGGGGUCUCGAUUUGCGAAACCGAGGUUUCGUCUGGCGGCUCAGGUGUUCUUCUCUCAGACAAGACGACGGUGAUAAUGAUCUGGUUUGUAACGAAUGCGUGGGGGAAAUGCUUGAUCGUGCUUGUCGCAGGAGGAUUUCUAGGGUCUUCUCAGACCAGGGAUAUGUUUGGUGGUUUCGGUUAGGGCUGGGCAUGGGACGGGAUUGGACGAGAUUUGGUGAAUCUCGUCCCGUCCCGAAAAUAAAAGAACGGGACGGUAUGGGAUGUCAUUUUUAAGAAUUGAUCCCGUCCCGAUAUAAUAGCCAAAAAUGAAAAUCAUCCAAAAAUAUUAAAAAUUAAUAAAAUAAAUAAAAGAAAAAGUAAUUAAUGUUCAUAAUAAUACAGAUUAAAAAAACUCUUAACAUUGUUAAUUCCUCAAUUUAGUUAUUUCCCAAAAUAUCUAUAAAGUCCUUUGAUUUUUCCUCGUAUUAUGAAAAAUUAAAGAAACUCUUAACAAAUUAAAAAAACUCUUAAUAACAAAACCCUAUAUAAAGUAACAAAUUAUCAAUAAAUAAAUAUUGUUCAUUUAUCGAUAAUAUAAUAACCUCUUUAAUUUUCAUGUUCCUAACAUUAUUUAUUUAUAGAGGUUUUAUUGUAGAUAUAAUAGAAAUGUUGUAAGUGUCCUUAUGAGGGUGAGGCCAAAUAAGGAGUGCAUGAAAUAGAAGUGUGUCCUUGAGAAAUCAUAUGAGAGGUGUCAUUGAUUUCAUAUAACCUAAGAAAUAGACGUAUAUGAUCUGAUACAACUUAUGAAAUGGACGUAUAUGAUCUAAUAAAACAUAAAAAAUAAGAUAAUUUAAUAUCGCGGGACGGGAUAGGAUUUUUCGAGAUAGUCCCAAUCUCGUCCUGUCCCGUUUCAAAAUUCAAUAACGGGACGGGACGGUACGGUAUAUGCAUUUUUAAAACUCUAUCUCGCUAACUUUCGGUACAGGACCGGGAUUCCGAUACUAAGUGCCCAGCCCUAGUUUCGGUGGCUACAGGUUUUCAAGGAUUGGAUCUCUCGUGAGUCGGGAGGCUUGUCUCGAGGCAGGAGAUUUAUGGCAGUCCAGGGAUCGUGGCAGGCAAACAGAGGUUAGUCUUUCAGCCAGGUUUGGAGAUGGUGGUCACGGGUCAAGCCAUAUCGGAUCAACUAAAAUCGGAUCUCGAUUUGAGGUUGAAGGUGCCGGCUUCGAAGGCGUCGUCAACGGUCAUAGGAGUUGGUGAAGUGGAUGGGUCGGAGAUCGUGAGUGGACCUGUGUAACAUCCCGGACCUAAUUUUACCCCUUUUACUGGGUAUCUUACGAGUUACUGAGGAAGUUAGCCAUGCUUGGUAAUUUGGUAAUUUAACACCCGAAUUUAUUGUCGAGUUUUUCUUAAAAUGUUAAAUUCUUCUAUUAAGGUUUCGAGGGUGUAGUGCGCGAUGGCACGAGUUCUCCAUUAUCAUCGGAUUAUUUUUGGGAGCUUCGAACUAUUUUUACGAUUUAUAAAAAAUCUGGGUCGCUGAUCUUUAAUCAUCGAUCACUUGUUGUCCAUUUCUGUUGUUAAAUAGAGGAAGAUUGGUCAGACCCAAUCAAAAUGCCCAAGUCGGGUUUGACCGAGCCCAACCGAAUCUCUCUCCUCUCCCCGACUCUCUCUGUGUCCGUCGUCGUCUCUCGCCAGAGCAGCGCCGUCCGGCCACCCCUUGGCGACGAGACUGCCACCAAGUGGUCCUCUCCUCCUUCCCGACCUAGCUCAACUCUCAAAUCCGGGAGGCAUCCAUUCUCGGCGGAGAUCGGAAGAGGAGGACAACGGCUGUUCUUCCCAAAUUCCGGUGGGUUCCGGCAACGAAUCGACAGACCAAGGUCAGAUUCUUAUUCUCCUUCCUCUCCUCUUCUUUUUUGGGUUUGUUUCAUCCCGAAUCGAGUUCUAAACUGCAAAGCCCUUUUCUGCCUUUUUCUGGGUUUCUGGUUCCUCGCUCCGGCGACCUACGUUCAAUGGAUUUUCGGUGAGCUCUUCAAUGUUUCGAUGGGUUCUGUGAGCUUGUGUGAAGUCAGGAUGGACCUUGGAGCGGUUGCUUGUUGGUCCGGGCUGAGGCAGAGGUCGGGUGAGUUAAGACUGAGAGGAACCGAAGUGUGGGGUGUUGUUUUGGUGGAGUUGGCGACCGAGACAGCAAAUAUAAAUGGUUAGAGGUUUCUGCAGGUUGGGAUCCGGCAAGAGAGCAGCUAGACUAGAGUUAUGGGAUUGACUGAAGGUAAACUCGAUCUCCUCUAGUAUUUUGGAGCUACUGUGUUGUUGUUGUUGUUGGUUGGUGUUUGAAUCAUUUAUUUUCUGCAUGAUUGUCGAUAACUUGAAGAUUGGAAGAUGUAGGGAGAUUAUGGUGAAAAUUUCGGCAAGUCACCGGAAUCCGACCAGUAUUUCUGGCAAGUCGUCGGAAUCCCAGCAAUUCCGGCAGAAUCCGUGAAGGUUGCUUGUCGACUUUUUUUUUCGUGUAAGUGGUAGUUUACGGUUUAGGAAAACCUGCCAUAUUUAGAAAGUCUCUUUUUAGGGAACUUUCCCCUUUAUGGAAACUUUCAUUCUUGGAAACCCUUUUGGGUGCCCUUAGUAAUUGUUAGUGUGAAGUUGGGUAGAAAAGAAAUGUUGGAAUUGUUGGUUCUAGUUGGCUUGAGCUAGGGGACCAUAAAAUAAUUUUUGUUAAUAUGAUUACUACCCAUAGUAACCCUAAAAUCUAGACCAUUGGCUUCAUGGUGAUUUUGGAAGUGAAUUGCUUAGUGUGAUAAAGGCAUGGAAAUUGUUUGUGACUUUGAUUACCGGCUAAGGUUUGGUUUGGGACUGAAGGAGUUAUAGUUGUGAAGUUAAUCGAAAUGAUUAAUAAUUUCUGUUUGUCAAACGUGGGUCAAGCCUGGUCAAUUUCUGGUCAACGUAAGAGAUUCUAAUCGAACUAGGAAGAAGUUGAAUAGUUAAUUUUUAUGGGGUCUGGUCUGACCGAUUUGUUCUUCUGUUUAUUAUCAGACGUGGGUUUUGGCUAUAGAGUGAAUAUUUGGAGGCUGCGCUCGAGGAGUAUUCCGAGCAUUGGAAGGCUUAGGCCUCAUACUGUGAGUGGACUUUUGUUUUAAAUAAUAAGCAUGCUAUGGUUCAUGGUUGAACAUUUAAAUUGUUGGAGUUUUGACGACAUUUAAUUUUGACAUUUUUAUUUCUUUUGGAGAGUUACCGAAAAAUGAGAUUUUUCGGUGAGUAUAAAUAUGUAUAUUGAGGAGAGUAUGUAUAUAAAUGCUAGCUAGCAAUGUGUGUCUGUCCACCUUAAUGGCGUAGCAUAUAGUCGCAUUAUGGUGUGACGUGAGUGUUGGACGUGAGCGUAGUAGCCCUAUAUGAGUGUUUAAUUCAUAUAGGGGCUAUGGACACAUAUUUAUACACCCGUCUGUCCACCUUAAUGGCGUAGUGUAGCACUGCAUUAAGGCGUGACGUGAGUGUUGGACGCGAGCGUAGUAGCCCUAUAUAGACCCAUGAAUUUAUAUAGGGAGUAUGGACAUGUGUAAAUACAUACAUAUAUUAUAGAGCCUGAGAGGCUCGACAUUUAUGAGAUAAAAGUUUUAUCGCUUGCAGCAUGCAUUCGAUUUUCCUUGAAAAUUGUUUUGGGGAAACAAAUAUUUUAUUCGUUAAUUUAUUUUUGUCCACUCACUCUAACGUUUCGUUUUCAAAUGUUUUCCCCUGGGCUCUUCGUUUUAAAAAUGCCCAGUUUGCAGGAUUGCAUAGUUGUGGUCGGACGUAUUUGGAGAAGAGGCAUAGUCAAUAGUGCAGCUUCCGCUCAUUUUUAUAUUUCUAGUUCAUUUCCUUUCAAAUAGAGUUGCUCUGAACUGUGGCUGUUGGCUAUGAGAUUAUCUUGUUUAAGUUGGUAAUUAAAUUGGGAGAUGUUGUGAUUUGGGGAGCACGAAGGCUCCAGGAGUUUAAGGUUGGAUUUGGAUUUUUUAGAAGUGUUUGCAGGUAUUUAUUAGGAAGGGUUGUCCAUUUUCAAAGGAGGUUAUGCCGAUUUUUCGGUAAACUUUCCUUGGAGGUGGUUCCCGCAAGACUUAUUUCGGGUUUCAGGGUGAAAUUCGGGGUGGGUCUUGACAACCUGCAUAUUAUAGGCCUGCCUUGUUGGGCUUAGAAGGUGAUAGGGUUGACUGACGUGGUUGUUGAGGUUGGGCAUGUGUCAAUUAGGCUUGCUUUCAAUUUCCUUGGUUUUUGCUGCUGUUGGUGCGUGCGGUGUCAAGGGCAAGGGUGCGACAUAGAUAUCAUGUGUUGUAGUCUGAGCAUUAGAUUGAAUUUAGUUACUUGAUUUCUAGUAUGCUAAGUGUACACGAAUUGAGGUCUUAUGCAACUAGUUUACUAUUUUCAAGGAAUUAAGUAAUGAGAUUUUUACUUCUUUUGAUGCAGGCUCUUUAUGAGCCUAAUUGUACAAGAAUGAAGAUACUGGUCAUUAGAGGUGGCAAACGGGCCGGCCAGUCUAAUCGGGUUUCGAGCCAUGUUUGGGCAUGCCCAUGACGGGCCACUUCUUAACGGGCUCGGGCUUGGGCCGGCCCAUUUACUCAAAUGUAAGGCCCAGCCCGACCCAUGGCCCAAGCCCAUACCAUGGUGGGCUGGGCCCAUGAACAGGCCGUGUCGGGCCCGUUUCGUGCCGAAAAUUAAAAAUAGUCGAGAUGAAUGUCCUAUACCACCGCUUCUACUCUCAUAAUCUCAACUUUUAAUUAUACAUGAUACGAUUACAAACCAAAACUAAUUCACGCAAUCUAUCAAUCAUUUUUUUAUUUGUCAACAACUAAAGAAAUAAGUGAUAAAUACUUAUUGUUCACAAUUAAUAAAUUUUUAGGCAAAAACGUCUUACGAGUCUAAAGGAAUCUAAAUUCAUACUCAAAUAAAUAAUUAUUAGUAUAUAAAUUUAUUGUUCACACUCAAAACUAAAUUUAUUAUUUAUAAAUAUGUUAUCUUCAUAUUAGAAAUGGAAAAAAAUUAUAUUUUAUAGCGGGCCGGGCCGGGCAGUGGGCCUUAAAUUAUCGUGCUCGGGCCGGGCCGGGCCCAUGGCUCAUUUUUUUAGACCCAGCCCGACCCAUUAGAAUAACGUGCUUGGACCGGGCCGGGCCGUUAACGGGCUUGGGCCGUGCCGGGCCUUUUUAAACGUGUCGUGCUCGUACUGUACCCGUGCUUUGCAGCCCAUUUGCCACCUCUACUGGUCAUGGUGCUUGUAGGUCUCUAUCGACAGAUUAUGUAGAGACACGCAUAUGAUGUAAUGUGAUUUCUAGCCAUUGUUUGAGCAAUAUAAUUUCCUUUACUAAAACAAACAUUAAUUAUCGAUAAUAGAAAAUUUCUCACUUCUUAUGGUUCGUUGACCACUAAAAAAUUGUUGAUUUAAGUUGAUUGAGAUAGUUCUCCUCUCUCUCUCUCUNNUCUCUCUNUCUCUCUCUCUCUCUCUCUCUCUCUCUCUCUCUCUCUCUCACCCUAAGCCUCUUCCUCACAAUCUGAUGGUUGCGGCAGUGGCAGUGGCGGAUUCGUUGAUGAAAGUCCCGGCUGGAUUCAUGCAACGUUGUGGUCGUGGCCAUCUCUCCUAUCUCUUCCUUCUUCUCUCGAGAUUUUGGUAGGGGUGAGGAAGACUCAUCGUGGGUUCAGGAUUUCUAAUCCUUUGUAGGCACAGUCGAGGCAUCAGGCAAUGACGAUGAUAACGACGACCCGUGACGAUAAGAUGAUUGGUCGACUCGACCUGGUAUUUUCGUGGAUCAGAUCCGAAUGACGGUUGUGAUUUGUAAUGGAUGGUGUCGUGGUUGAUAUUGUGGCUUCUCUCUUUAGUGAUGACGACGUCGGUAGUGCUAGUGUUGGUGGCUUGGACAACAACAUCGUGGAGCUACCUGCGACCGCACAGAGUGUUGGUUUCUUGGCAGUAAUUGUGUUGGGGUUGGUGGCUUCAGUGGCUCUCGGGGCAGUGGGGAGGAUAGCUGGACUCGAGGUUUGUGAUUGAGAACAUGGCUACUCGUCCAAUCGGUGAUGGAGACCUUAUUGGCAAAUGGCAAUGACGACAGUAAGGUCUGUGGUGGUGGUCAACAAUAGAUGGGAUGUGGGGAUCGAAGGCGGUAGAGAUGUCAAGGUAAUGUUUAGGGUGCCCAAGCAUUUGGGUGCCUAUGUAUUUUGGUGCCCUAAGCUAUAAGAGCUAGCUUUGGACCUAGGUUCCCAUCCUCAGUAGGGUUUGGGGUUGUGGGCUGGUAAGGAAUUUGCAUUGUUGGGCUUAUGCUUCAACUGUGUUGGUGUCAAGAUAGUCUGCUAGCUCCAAUAUCUGUUUUCAGGGAGACCCUAUCUAUAGGGUGGUUCCGGCGUCAUGAAUAAGUUAGGUUUGCUCAGCAUGUUUAGUUUUCAUUUUCCUGUUUAAUUCCCUUUUCCCUCGACGUCAUUUUUUUUUUUCAAAUUUGGAUGCAAAGUCAUUUUAUUGAUCAAAGAUAAAGUAAUAAUACAACAUAAACAUAAAUUAAUCUUAAUUCUCAAAAAAAUAUAGUUCAUGUAUUGUUUUUAAAAUUUACUCUAAACAUAAUCCACGCACGAGUUAUCUAAGUAUCAAAUUUUCUAUUAAGUUAUCUAAGUAUCAAACAUAAUCCACGCACGACUUAAACUAUAAAAGCUUAAGUCAUCUCAAUAGGGUAUUGCUAUUAACACCUUUUUUUCUAUUAACAUACCUCAUCUAUUUUCAUAUCCAUAUAUACUUUUUUUAUUUUAUUUACAAACUUAUCACUUGAAUUUGAUUGAUGAUUGAUUCUCAUCAUAUAGGGGUGUUAAUACUUUUUUUCUAUUAACACACCCCAUCUAUUUUCAUAUCCAUACUUUUUUAUUUUAUUUACAAACUUGUCACUUGAAUUUAAUUGGAGACAAGCUAUGGUACUGAGAUGUAUAUCAUACUUUUAUUUUACAUGUACUUGAACAAAAAUUACAAUGUUAUGAAUCAAAUUACAACAUUGAGAACAAAUUUACCAAAUUUAUUUACACUAUUUACAUGAAGUUAAACAAAAUUACAACUAUGAGAACAAUUUGUUCAAAAAGUUGUAAAAUGGUUGUACAUUUUGUAAUUACAAUUAUUAGAAUAAGAUUACAAACAAUACGACUCAGCAUUACCAUUUUGACUACAAAUAUGUUGUCACAUUUGUAAAUGUGGGUAUCACAUAUAGGUAGGUACCAUAGAAUUUCCCUAUAUUUAAUUAAUGAUUGGUUCUCACCAUAUCUAUUUACAUAUCCAUACUUUUUUAUUUUAUUUACAAACUUGUCACUUAAAUCCUCUUAAUAUUGCAAACGAUAAAAAAUGUAUUAUGAUUAAUAAAUCGUAAUUGUCAGAAUCAUCAGACUUAUUUAUAAAAUACUUAGAGGUAACACUACUCUAAGGAAUGCUCCUCCGAGUCAAAGCCAGGAGAUGUCAUUAAAACCUCCUAGAAAGCAAAUUAACCUACAUAAUCUUAAGCAUGGAAGAUUAUAACACUUUGAUUUGAGGUCUAAGACCUUAAGGUGUACAUUUCCUUCAAAGUGCAUAAACAAAACCACUCAAGGUUAUGUAAGGGUCUUUCCUGGUGAGAGUAGGAAACUAGUCCGUCCUGCCUCCACCUCGAGGUCGCUUGUUUCUCCACUCGAUUUAGGUCAAAACUGCAACAACACCGGUUUGAGCUUCUUGUUCCUACUGCUGGCCAUGAGGCCGGGCUCGUUUCUUCAGGGAUUUUUCAAUCUUGAACACCCCUAGCUCGUCAUUAGCUCCAACAGAAAACCCUAAUUCCUCAGGGGCCAAGGGGAGAGUAACCAAGGCGAGUGCAUGGCGUGGUUUUUUUCCCACCUCUUGGUCAACCUCUCCUCUCUGUUGCUUUGCACACUGGCGACUUUUGCUGGAGAUGGGAAGGGUUCCACCUCUCUAAUCUGUACUUGCCAGCGCUCUUUGGCGAAGAGAGGUGCCAAAGACAUUAUUGACAAUAGCCCCAGCAUCAUCUUCUAUGGGAGCUUGGGUGAAAUUUUGAUAUGGUGAAGCUAAUGUUUCCUUGAGAAUAGUAUUGACGAUAACCCCAACAUCAUAUUGAAUGGAGCUUGGGUGAAAACUUUGAUUUGGUGUCAGUGAGCCGUUGCCUGGUUGGUUAAGGAUGUUAACUAAUAACUUUGAGGCCAUGGGUUCAAACCUCACUGACAUAUGUAGGGUGCGUGAGUUAUUUAAUACAAGUUUUUUUUUUAAAACUUUGAUUUGGUGAAGCUACUAUUUCCUCCAAAAUAUUAUUGACAAGAGCACCAAAUACAUCACUUUGAAUGGGAGGUUGAGUGAAAGUUGCAUUAGGAAGAGCUACGUGAUAAUUAUUAAUAGCAAUAUCAUUAUCAAUAACAUUGAUGACAUGUGUCACCGAGCGGCCUUUUUGAGCUUCUUUCUCCUUCAAUUUAUUCUUUAUACAGUAUUCCUGAUGAAUCAUAAUACGUUUCGCUAAAAGUUCCUUGGAGUACUUGAGUUGCCUGCAACUCUUCCUCUCAUGUCCAAUUAAACCACAAUUAGAGGGCAGCUCUUCCUCUCAUGUCCAAUUAAACCACAAUUAGAGCAUUGAAGAGGUAGGUUCUCAUACUCUAUACCUACUGGAAAACAGAGGCCAUGUCUUUCAACCAUGAUGGACGUUGGAAGAGCAAUAGUUGUGGGUGCAAGUACUCUUGACUAAGCCCUAUAGCCCAUAUUUCAUAUUUGUGCAUGUAAUUGAGGAAGAACAUCACCAGGUCUAAAUUCAGACUUCCACUGAGAAAGACGAAUAUUCCAUGUUCAAUAGUGCAAGUCCCAUCCCCCCCCAAACCUUGCGCAUAUCAUAUUCGGAAUUGAAGUGUACGUAUGUCGAAAAAAAACCUUUGCCAAUCGGGACAAGAGGCCAUGGACCCGAUGGACCCCAAAGAGCAUCCAAAGAAGCUUUUAGGGAUUCAGUUUUCAAUAGAAUGGAUCCCUUACAGAGAAGCAAUCGGCCGAUAAGGUUAUUUCGGCAAGCUGCUAAUUGUUCUUGGUAGAUCGUCUCAUUGAUUUUCACGUAGAUUGUGUCUCCACGAAUUGUUGGUCCGGGGCUACUAGUUGACUUAUAGGAACAAAGUUUUCCUUUGAGUCUGCUACAAUAUAAGCGAAGUUCUUUGCCUUACUAAUUCUAAGAUCCAAUGUAGAGGAGGGAGAAGGUGUUCGGCCUGUUAGAGUUUAGCGCAAGAAAACUCCAUGGCAUGCUGGAGGCUCUCCCGUGGCGGAGGUCUGGUGCCCAAACCCUAGGUCGCACUUUGGAAAGCGCAUGUCAAACCAUGUUUCAAUAGUUUGUUGUCUCCAUCGAUCAGAUCUGAAGAUGUCUCAUUCUAUAAAAUUUCGCAAAGUCUAAUAUUAUUUUCACAUUAAUUUCAAGUUUGGUUGAUUUUUGUGACUUGUGAUUCUUAUAAUUCACCCAUACCAAUUUUCUUCUUCGUUCUUAUAUAUUUGUUUCAUGUGUCGUUGAUGCUAAUUAAUAAAUCCUUGAUGAUGCUUUGAUUCCUAGUUUCCUACUGCAUCAUUUGUAAACAUUAUUUUUUCGUUUUAAUUUCUUUGUAUCUUAUUAUCUUACUACUUGGUUUAAGUCUUAGCUUGCGUCGUAUGAGAAAAAUUCUUAGAUCCGCCAUUGACGUCCUCAUUAACCCUUGGCUUUAUAGUAGAGAUGAGCUAAUAACGUAUUUAGUGAUAAUUUUGUAUUUUUAUUAAUGACAUUUUUUUAUGAGGAAACCUGCUCAAGGUUGUUUACGUACAGUCGAAUUAAUAUAAUAGUUUUGGUACAUUUAACUGCAUUUUGAAAUACCCAAGCGGAUUUUUUUUUUGGAGCACCUAAGCGAGAUUGAUUUCUUGGAGAGUGAGACUUCCUAUUAAUCCUGCUUGGAUAUUGAUAAACAUAGCCAUCUAUAAGUACAAAUGUCCCAUUUCAGAUUUUGCAUAAACAAAUUAAUCAAGGAUAUAUGGCCAUGCUCUCUCUAUAUUUGUCUUACAAUAACCUGGGAAACUACCCUCCGCCGGUUCAACAGGUCUGUUUCCUUCAAGCAAUUACAUGAACACAAAAUAUCUGCAGGCAAGGAAAAACAAAUCGAGAAUGGCAACGACGACCAAUUUACUUGUCAUGGGUCAGCCGAGUGCUGGCAGUCACCGCCACAAGACAACAUGGAGGAGAUUCUACAGAAAAUGGGUUUAAUCGCUCGUACUCGCUUAGUCAAUGUCUGCAUGUCUUGGAGCUCACUUGUUAAGAGAGCUGACAUCCGCAGUGCUCAUCAUCUGCCAUGGUUAGUUCACCCUCAAACCCUAAACACCGACUACUUAACCUUUUCGAGCCUCUGUGAGGGUGAACUUGUGAAGUUGGAUCUACCAACUCCAAAGCGAUUCUGAGGACACGGCAAGUUCAAGUUUCAAACAUCUUCUAAAGGUUGGCUGAUCCUUUUUCAAGAAAAAGGACUCAGCAUUGAUAUGUUCCUAUACAAUCCGAUUUCUAGAGCCCAACACCAACUUCCUUCCUUAAGCACAAUCCCAUCUUUCCUACCUUUCCGACUAGCGACAAUGCUAUCGAAAUGGAAGGGUAUCAACAAAUAUGCCGAGAAUUUUGUAACUGAAGUUGUGUUCUCUAGUCCAAAUAUCUCGGAAUGCAUUGUUGCUGCCGUUAUUGGCCCCACAGAAGGAAUUGGCAUUGUGCAGACCUGGAGACAAAACCUGGACAGUUUUUGAGAUUUUGAAUACUGAGGACGACCAUCUCAUGGAUUUACUCUUUUCGGGGGGCAUGCUAUACGGCAUAGUUGAUAAUGUUACAAACGGUCAUAACACAAAGAAUGGCAUAGGCGCAGCUCGCAUCCUAAACUUUGGAGAUGAUCACACAAUGAGAGUGGAAUUGAAGUUGGUGUAUGGCCAUAAAGAAGUUGGUUAUACGACCGAAGUACAUGAUGACUAUCUAAUCCUUUUAAAUAGAGACUACAACUCAUAUUUGUUAGAAUCAACAACAAACUGCAGCAAGGAAAUCUUGUUGAUCCAUCAAAGGUUCGAUUGUUUACUCGACCUUGUUCAUGAUGGUUUGGAUAUGGAAUAUCAGAAGACAAGUGGGUUUCUAGUAUACAAGAUUGAUCUCGUGUCUGGCAAAUUUCAAGAGGUAAAAAACUUGGGGGAUCAAAUAAUAUUUUUGGCAGAACAUAGCUCUUCCUUUGCCUUUGCGGCAAGUGAUUUCAAACUACAAGGAAAUUGCAUCUAUUUUGCAACAAGCGGAUAUGACCCAACCUACCUACCUCGUAAGUUCUCGCUUGGACAAAAUAUAUCUCGUGAAAUGGGAAUCUAUAGUUUGGAUGAUGGAAAGAUUAAGCGACCCUUUCCAAGUCUUGAUGUUGGUAGUAGCUCAUCACCUUGUAAACUAAGUUGGUUCUGUCCGAGUUUAUGACUAUUGUUCUAGGAUGUUAAGAAUCUGUAUACAGCCAUAACUUCAGCAGCAAUAGAGCUUGAUAACAGCCAUAACUUCAGCAGCAAUAGAGCUUAGAAUGUCCAACUUAGAGCAAAAAGCACUCAUAACUUUGCCACUGUAAUCACGAAAUACCCCUCUAUAACCAGUUUUGUUUGAACUACUUUUCCAUGCCCCGUCAGUGUUCAGCUUAAUACACCCAUAUAGAGGAGGGUGCCAGUUAACUUCGAUUACUCUUGGAGCACGUCGGGGCCGACAUUGAACGCCAACUUUCUUCAAAACCACAAGCUCCUCAAUAGAAUUAAACAUGCAUCCAGUGACUAACUUACUUGAUGAAAUAACAUGGCCUGAAAUGAGGGAACAUACACGUGUAGCAUCCACCCUAAGACCUUCAUAUUUAAUCUUGUUCCUUGAACUCCAAAUAAACCAUAGAGUAGUAACAAAACAGGUUGACCACACGUACAACUUCAAUGUGUGUAAAUUUUCAUUUACUUCUGUUCAUUUUCUUGUAUUAAUUUGUAGUGGUCGAACGUUUACGUGAGAAAAUAUGUUGCCAAUUUUGUAGCACUUAGAGUAUAGAAGGGAAGAACACACAUUGCCGAUUUAUAAGGGAAUCAAAACCAUCUUAAGUAGCUGAGGUGUUAUAUAUGAGUAUAGAAGAAGAACACACAUUGCCAAUGAUUUUCCAAGCUAUUAGAGAGCCAAGAAAAAAAUCCUAUGAAAAUUUUGUGUCCUCGGAGUGGCCGGGGCUUAGAUGGACCGGUGAGAUCAUCCAAAGUAAACAGUCAAAUUUCCAAGGAACAAUACAUGCCACUAUAAAAUAGAAACUACCCAUAAGACUGCUAAUUCUGCCUAGGCAAUGAUCCCAUGAGCUGAGCCUUUAGCUCAAUUAUAACCCAACUGCUCUGCUAAUGAUAACAGUUCUUUCUUCAGUUUUAAACUAGAGGGCUACCAUGUAAAAAUAGUUGCACCCUGCAUGUCAACUACACACUCUAAUUUAGUUUCUUUCCUCUAGGUUUCCUUUUGAGAAGGAGUUCACGCAGCAAUGUCAAAACUUAUAGAAGGCCGGCAACGAGAACAGAGUUCAGUUAUGAUAAGAAGAAGCAAAUUAACAAGGUGCAUGAAGAUCCAGAUCCGCCCUGCUUCUUCUUUUUCGUCCGAGAGGGCUUUGGAGAACUGGAGGAAGCUAUCUGCUGCCCUCAAGAAGCCUAAAAGGCGACGGUUUCUCUUCAAUCCCGCAGCUCGCUUCCGUUGGGUCAGCACCUCGAUCUGUUCCUCUCCAUAUCCAUCUCUGAGUUUCUUUAAGUUCCCGUCACAGUACAUUUUCGUCUCCAAUUUUGAUUUACCAGAGCUCAAAUUUACAAUCCUCUUUCAAAAGACUGAAAGAGGUGACGUCAUUUGUUUAGAAGAAGCUCUGAACUCCUUCAGUUGAAAGUAUAAUUUACCAAGGAAUGCAUCAUGCCGGAGUGGCGCAUCAUGUGAUGUUCCUGGACAUGGCAAUCACCGAUUGUGGUAGGGGAGCUUCCUAUAAAGAACUAGCUCAGAUGAAGUACACUCAAAUAUCUAUGUAUAUAAUGUAGGAGCAAUAUAAUGGUCUAAUACUGGAUGAUGUGCUACAAUAAACUCCUGUUUAGAACUACCAGGUGAAGAAAAAAACCAAUAUAAUGGUCUAAUACUGGAUGAUGUGCCCAUCAACAAGAUGUGAAGUUUUCUAGUAGUUACAUAAUUAGGAGUCUUCUAACAGUAGGACAUGUAUCCUGCUGGCCUUCUGAACCUUGGAACGUUCCUGCAGCGUAUUUGAAAGUGAAAAAUUAUAAUAUGCAUAAAAAAUAUCAUUUGACUAACAGAAAGCAAAGAAGUAAGAGGACCAUACCCAUAUCCAUGCGCGAAUAGAAGUAUGAGGGUACAUAAGGGCCCCUGAAGUGGUAACCCAUAUACGGAUUGUUACGUCCAGAGCGGAAUUGCUUGUAUCCGGGAACACUCUUAGGCAAAACCUAGGGAUAUAUUACACAAUUAACAAACACUUGCAAUAAUGAUAUAACAGAAAGCAAUAUUCAAGACCAAUAAUCUAACUGGUUACUGGUGUUAAUGUAUUUCUUACUUCUCUGGUUGUUUCAAUAGAUUCACACAACAACAAUAAACAAGGAGCAGAGAGCAAAUAGAGGAUUACCUUCAACGGCCUUCCAUGCAACUCAGAUUCAUUCAGAGCGAGAGCCUCUUGAACAGCUUCUGCUUCCGGGAAUUCCACAUAAGCAAAACCCUUUGGUUGGCCACAUUUAUCUGUCAGCAUAGUCACCCUGUUAACUGUGCGAUAUGAUUCGAAAUGCUGCUGUACUUCUUCAGGUGUACAUGCAUAAGCAACCUGAAAAACAUAAUUUCAUCCAGUUUGAAGCCAGAGUCAGCGGAGGAGACAACAUACAACACAACAUAUAAAAAACAGGAAGUGCAUUAACAAGAAGAAAUAGCACAUUUUGGAUGAGUUUUGGGACAGCAUAAAAACUGUUUAUUGUAGUGUUGAAGUAGGUAAAAAAACUAACAUUAACAUGUGUCUAUCAAGCUGGGAAAAGUUCUUUUAUACCUAAUGCACAGCCACAGAUACACACAGAUAUAAAAUUACAAAAUUCAUUUCUCUUUUGAGCUUAUGAAAACCUAUUCAAAUAAUUAGCAUUCUAGUUACUAGUACCUUCUAUUCUAGACAGCCUCACCGCCCUCAUUCACUUACCCAACAUUCAAUGAUUUAAUCCAUUAGGCCAGCAAAGACACUAGGGAAUCUGCCGUACAUUCUCACUGUUAGUCUAAAUUGGGCUAAUGGAAUUUUUUUUUUCCCGAAUUGGUUCAACUCAAAACACUGUUACUCACUUACUCUACAUUGUAACAAUGAUGCGACAGAUUACAUGGACCACCCUAAAUCUACAUUGUAACAUAUCCAGCGCCUAGACACAGAGACGUUGCGGAGCAACAAUGAGCCUGUGAUCAUUGUACGAUAAACGGUCAAACCAAGACUCUCAAGGGGCAUAUGAUACCCAUCCACACAAGUGUAAAGUAUACAUACAACUUAAGUGAGUAGUUCAGUUGAGGUACUUAACAAAGGUUGAAACCUUUUAAUCUUAUUACAAAAGUACAUAAGCGAAACCAAACUGCAAGGAUUCACAAAAACAGUCAUACAAUUGAAGAGAAACCAAACAUUCAUCCAUCACACUCAACAUGAAAAAGUCAAGGAUUAACAAACCAAGCAUAUAUCUGAAGAGAAACUAAAUGUUAACGGGCUAAUCGAAAUUGGAACUGGCCAAACUAUGAGAGGCAAAGAGCCCUCAUCCCUUCAGAUUAUUCCAAAAGCAACAUCAGAAAUUUUGUUAACAGUGGCAGCACAAAUCUUAACUAAUAUUAUGAGAUAUAGUCAAUCACCAAAAAAAAACCUAAACUAAUUGAAUCUGCAUCAAGAAAAAUGCAAAACAGAGAAGCUAAGCAACAGUCAAGUACAAUUCAUACCCAGACUCUGGUGUCGCCGUGGCUCCAUUCUAAUCGAAUCUCAGUCUGAAUUUCCCUCUCGGAGAUCAAACUCCCAUCGACUGCAAUUAGGACUAAGGGAUGAGUGCGAACUCAGACUAAGCAAAAACCCGCUAAAGGAAUGGUCAUACGAUACCUGAAAGAGAAAGAUUUUUCCCACAAACGACAUGUCGUGUGUUGCUGCUCUUGAAGGUUAACCGCCACAUCAGCGUCAAUGCCUGCCAUCCGGACCGUCCACGCUGCACAUCGGCGCCAAAUCAAAGAAAGCGAUCUACAUCGGAAUCCAUGGCUGCUCCGGCCUGUUCCAGACGCAAAAAAUAAUAAUAAAAAAAAACUGAAAAAAAGAAAAAAAGAACCAAAAAGAACGAGAAAGAAACCAAGAGGCGGCGGAUAUGGAGGAUUCAGGCGAGGCGAAGCAGUUUCUGGCCGGAAAAUUCAAAAAAUCACAGAGAUUGUGAUUUAUGCUGACGCCGGAAAUUUAAGCAAGAAAUCGAACACAAUUAAGAGAGAUAGAGAGGGAAAGAGAGAUGAGUUCAGAAAGAAAGUGAGGUGGCCCUGUAUGCCACAAUACCCAAGAAGACGACAAAGAAGACGAUGAUGAUCACAGAGAUUGUGACUAUCUUGCUGAUGGUGGUCGUCGGAGUCGAAGACUGCUGCUUGGCGAGCUUCUUGGCCUUUCUCUCUGCUUUUCUGCGUAGUGGUCUUGUGUCUCUUUUACUUGCUCCGUAACGGGAAGCUUUUUCGAAGGGAGAGAGAAUGACAGUGAGAGAUGAGAGGGAAGAGGGCAGUGGAAAUUGGGGAAAUGGGUCCGUAUUUAUAAGAAGUGAGCUCCGUCUUGAAAAGAAAGAAAAAAAAGGAGUAAAAUGAUAUAUAUUGAAUUAUGGGACGUGACAGUCCAUAUAUGUGACAAUCACUUAGUCGUGACUUCUUAUUACACUUACGAGUUUUUGAGUUAGGUCCAAUGUGAGAAAUGAAACAGAGCAUGACAAAUCGCGGCUAUAAACAAUCUCGAAAAUCAAGAUGUUUUUAUAUUAUAAAAAAAAAAACCUAAUUAAAAUAGAUGAGCUACGAGGACAUCUUUAGUUACAAUGUCUUAGAGAAGAGCUCCCGAAAAAGAUCAAAGAACUUUAUUUUCCUAAAUAGUUUAACAAGUAGCAUUGUGUCCAAGAUUUGCAAUCCUACCAGCAACAAGUUUGCCUCCCUAUAAACAUGGGAGAAGGAAAUACUUUCAAAGUUAUCCGCCAAAUUUCUGAUAUCUUAGAUCAAUUGAGGAGCCUCCAAGGAGGCUAUUAAGUGCCGCUAACAGCAUCGGUGACUAGUUUGGAGUCACCCUCCACUUCUAGAUGGUUGUAGCCUUUUUACAGCGCCAUUUUUAAACAAUCACGAAGAGCACGAGCUUCAGCUAUAGGAGAAUGUAGUCUCCUGAGUUAAUACCUACAAUAGCUAGGGGUCUUCCAAAGCAAUCUCAUAAAACAAAACCACCAACUAUAAAAUUAUUUUGCGUGUCAAACUCUCCUCUAUAACUUCCAAAGAACUCUCCUCUAUAACUUCGAGAGCAAUCUCUUAACUCAAAUUCAUUCCUAAAUCAUACAGAUGAAGUACAAACCAAAUUCAUGGGAUGUAUACCCAAAACCAAACACAAAUUCAAAAAUAAAUGGGUCUUCUGCCCAUUUAAAUCCAAAUGCCGGAACAUACAUGUGGUUUGAUCCCACCAAGGGUAUGUAGGUAAUCUAAAACCAAAUCUAUCCAGAUACAACCGCGUCCAAAACAAAAAAUCAAAUCAAAGCCUUACUCAAAUCACCAGUUCACUUACACCAAAUUUGUCCCCAAACACUACUCGUACGCGUAUUGCAAAAUCAAAGCCCUCUAACAAGCCAUUCACUUGUUGGAGGUCUUGAACUACGAAUGGCUUGAUUUCUUUUUAAGGGUACGUAGGCAACCCAUUCAAAUAUCCGGGUAACAACAUCUCAUCCACAUUUUGCUUUCUUCAUAUAAAAAUAGAAUAAAAGGGUGUUUUCCUAUAUUGAUGGAAUCUAAUUAAGAGACAUUAUGCCUUGAAUCGGUUGACCCGAAAUAAUUAAAACUCUAUUCACAAAAUAAAUACGAGAGAAAUUAUGUUUGGUGACAUUUUCACUCACUAUAUAUAAUUUUUUUUAUUUCUUAUGUUUAGGUAUAUAUGAACAAUGCACAAGACACGUAUAUAUAUUAGGGUUUUUCUUUCUUUCCUUUCUCACAGUAAAAUAAUGUAAUAAAUAAGAGUUCUUCUAUUGUUUGUUCAGAAUGUGCUGGACUUGAUUAUUGUCAUGUAGCACGUGGUUCAGUUAUUAUCCCCCCCAUGUUACAUAAUAAAUGGAACAAGACGCGAGGCUAAGUCUCUUAGUUAUGCUAAUUUCCAAACUGUUUAAUCAUCAUAGGUGGUUGAGUUUGUAAGAGCAUUGAUGUGGAAUUCUCUUACUCAGUUUCAAAUCCCCCCGACUUUAACUGGAAUUAAAUCUUCAAUUUAUUCUUGAUGGCCAAGGGGAGGAAAGCGUUCUGAAAUGACUCUUCUAUGCGGAUUAGUCUUUGGGCGGAUACCGUCGUUGACACUCUCAACAAAGGAUAAAGAUCCUCUCAUUGGCUGCAGGGGCGUAGGGAAGGGGGGGUCAAGGGGUUCAGCUGACCUCCCUCACAUUUUCUAUUAGGUCAUAUUGUUAUCUAAUUUGUCAGUUGAAAUGUGAUGUUGGUACUAUUUUGACCAUUCUAACUAAUUAAAGAAAAGUUUGGCAUAUAAAAUAUUAAUUACAAUAAUCAAUUUGGACAGAGGAGUGUUCAACUCCUCACGUGUGUUUGAUACGUGUGGCUCUCUUAUUUUUUUUUAAUAUAGGUUUCUAAUCCGAAUCAAUGAUUGAUUGCAUCUCCCUUUAAUAUUACAAUUAAAACAUAUUCCUAGUAUUUUUUUUUGUCUUUUUAAUUAAUAUGUUUUCAUAAUCAAUCAAUUAUUGUGAUUGAUUUCUCGUGCACCUCUAUAUAAACAGUUUUAGUAGCUUCUUUACGUAUUUCUUUUUGUUAUCCUUCAAUAAAUUUUUCCCUAUCGUCAACAACCUUCAUAAUUAAAAACUUGCAAUUAUGAAUGUUUUAGUUUUAUUGGAAAAGUAUCGUAAGAUAAAAGCAGCAGAACAGUCGACUCCAUCUGAAGCUCCUCCAAAAUUUUCAAAUAUGAGCAAUCGUCGAGGACAAUUAUAAUUACUUUAGGGAGAUUUGCUAUUUUAUUUAGCUUUUGUUUUCAAAGUAUUCUAAUGAUUUAUAAGUUUUUAUAUUAUUCAAUAAAAAUUAUAUUUUUAUUUUGUGUGGCAUUAUUGUUUAAACUCUUGACCCUUCUACUUGUGGUUUCUGGCUACGCCACUGAUUGGCUGGUACCUGGUAAUUGGUCUUGGUUAUCCUUAGCUUUCAAUCUCAACCAUUAAUGACAUAUUUGAGGGCUAAUAAGACUCCACAUCAGCGAAAACUAUAAUAAAGGGCAAUGUUUUUCUUUUUCUCACAGCUAGCAACACUAAUGUCGUUCACAUUUUCCUUCUUUUUCCCCCUUCAUUGUCUUCCUCACAUUCAUCUGAUCAUCCCCUGCCACCGAGAAAUUGGAAACAAUGAAAGCUGAAACAAUUAAUUGCAAACCAAAAGAAUACAAUAGAGAUACUUAGAACUAGAUACAUAUUCACCAUACCCAGUAUCUCACCUCUACUUAAUCAUAAAAUCUUAGACUUUUAUAUGAUAAGAAAUCAAAUUUCACCGAGAUACCUCAACUGUGAAAGGGAGGGGUUGACUUGGGCAAAGCAUAUUUAUCCAGAUUCUUGAUUUGGCCAAAGCUCGUGUUCUUUGGAGCUAAUUAAUCUCAUUGGAAGACCUAAUAAACUCGACUUUGUUUACAUUGUUCAUCCCACAGAUUUUUUGCCCUCGAUAGAGUUGCGACCCACGAUCUCUAUCUUUUGCAGAGUUUUACCCGUCUUGUCGUUCAUCUUUGCAAGCCAAUAUGCUAUCAGAAUUUUUACCCAGCAGCCGGUGUCGGUGAGUACAUGCAUCUUACCAGUUGUAGGCGAUUCAGAAAGUCAUCCAAAUCCUUUAUGAAUAUAAGCAUAUAUCGUGGAAGAUUUUAAUUUGGGUAGAGCCGGAUUUUGAUUUUGUUGGGUUUUUAAGAUUUGUUUUGUUUGUUAUUAUUGCUGAUAAUAAUCCCUUGUUAAUAGGGACGUGUAGUUAGUGUUUUACUAAUUCUUGUAAUCAUGUACCACGCUUUAGAGUAGUGGAAGUGUGGGCUGCAGUUUCCCUUCUGUUUGUUUUUGAAAGGCUAUAUAUGCCUAAGUUUCUAAGAUAAUGAAUAUUGAGGUAUUCUCCCAAAACAGUGUUGUUUUCUUGAGUAUUUGGGUUCAACAAUUCUGGUAUCAGAGCCCUUAACGGGGCCUGAUCAAAAGGGGGGAACGAGAGAAGAGAGAUAGAGUUGAGAAAAGAAAAGAAAGACAGUGUUGUGAAAAUACAGAUUAGGGCAUGGCAGAGAACAAUUUUGUUCAACCAGCCAUACCAAAGUUCGAUGGUUUCUAUGACCAUUGGGCAAUGAUGAUGGAAAAUCUCUUGCGUUCGAAGGAUUACUGGUCUUUGGUGGAAGUUGGAAUCCCAGCGGCAGCAGCAACUGGAGUUGAAGAGACAGAUGCCCAAUGAAAGGUUAGAGAAGAUACUAAAGUAAAAGACUUGGAGGUAAAAAACUAUCUGUUUCAAGCCAUUAACAGAACAAUAAUGGAUACCAUCUUAGACAAGGCGACUGUAAAGGGAAUUUGGGACUCCAUGAGACAGAAGUACCAAGGAUCCACAAAGGUUAGAAGAGCCCAACUGAAGGCACUCAGAAGGGAAUUUGAGAUUCUGGGAAUGAGAGAAGGGGAGAAGGUGGAUGAAUACUUCGCUCACACACUCACCAUCGCGAACAAGAUGAAGGCACAUGGCGAGAGAAUGGAACAAUUGGUGAUAGUCGAAAAGAUCUUAAGGUCUAUGACUCCUAAAUUUGAUUAUAUGGUGUGUUCGAUAGAGGAGUCUAACAAUCUUACAACCAUGACCAUUGAUGAACUCCAAAGCAGUCUUCUGGUGCAUGAACAACGUAUGAUUGGUCACAGUGGAGAUGAACAUGUACUGAAGGCAACUCUUGAAGAUAAUUUUGCAGCUAGAGGAAGAGGCCGUGGAGGAUUUCGAGGACGGGGAAGAGGCAGAGGCAGACAAGGUUUCAACAAAGCCUUGAUCGAAUGUUGUAAGUGUCAUAAGCUAGGACACUUUCAAGAUGAGUUCCCUAGUUGGGAAAAGCGGGUGAAGUACACUGAACUUGAAGAGGAGGAGGAGUUAUUGCUCAUGGCUUAUGUGGAGGAAAACAAAUCAAGUAGGGAGGAUGUGUGGUUCUUGGACAGUGGUUGUAGCAAUCACAUGUGCGGAAACAAGAGAUGGUUUUCUACAAUUGAUGAAGGUUUUCGGCAUGCAGUGAAGCUAGGCAACAACACAAGGAUGUCAGUGAUGGGAAAUGGCAACAUCAAGCUUCAAGUCCAUGGUUUAACUCAGGUAAUUAGUGAUGUGUAUUACGUUCCUGAGUUAAGAAAUAAUUUGUUGAGCAUAGGUCAGUUGCAAGAGAGAGGAUUGGCUAUCCUCAUUCAAGAUGGAGUGUGUCAAGUUUACCAUCGGAGAAAGGUGUAACCAUGCAUACCCCUAUGUCUGCUAACAGAAUGUUUGUGAUUCUCACAAAAAUAAUGCUCACUGACUCCACAUGCCUGCAAGUAGCAUCCGAUGAUCUAGCAUACCUGUGGCAUUGUCAGUUUGGUCACUUGAACUACAAGGGGUUAAGGACUUUACAUUACAAAAAGAUGGUGAGAGGAUUACCUUCAUUCAAAACUCCAACAAAGACUUGUGUGAAUUGCCUAGUGGGAAAGCAAAGAAGAGAUUCAUUCCCAAAAAGAAGCUUAUGGAGAGCCACUCAAAAGCUACAAUUGGUGCAUGCAGACAUUUGCGGCCCAGUUACACCUACUUCCAAUAGCAACAAAAGAUACCUUCUUAGCUUCAUUAAUGAUUAUAGUCGGAAGAUGUGGAUUUACUUUCUCACAGAGAAGUCAGAAGCCUUUACUAUGUUCAAAAACUAUAAGAAUCUUGUAGAGAAGGAAACAUGUUCUUCUAUUUGUUGCUUAAGGACAGACAGGGGAGGAGAGUUUACCUCUAAUGAGUUCAACAACUUUUGUAAAUCUCAUGGUAUCAAAAGGCAACUUACGGCUGCUUAUACUCCCCAACAAAAUGGGGUUGCUGAACGGAGGAACAAAACUAUCAUGAAUGCAAUCCGGAGCAUCUUGUUUGAAAAGAAAGUUCUGAAAAGCUUUUGGCUGGAAGCAGUAAAUUGGGUCACACAUGUUCUCAACAGAAGUCCAACUAAAGUGGUGCAAGAUGCAACUCCUGAGGAAGGUUGGAGUGGGGUGAAACCAAAUGUAAAUUACUUCAGGGUGUUUGGGUGCAUUGCCCACGUUCACGUUCCUGAUGCCAAAAGAACCAAACUUGAUGACAAAAGCUGCAAAUGUGUUCUGCUUGGUGUAAGUGAAGAAUCGAAGGCCUACAGACUAUACAAUCCUAUCUCAAGAAAGGUCAUUGUGAGCAAGGAUGUUGUUUUUGAAGAGGAUGAAAGCUUGGAUUGGGGGAGGAGUGAUGAGGAGAUCAAGCUUGAUGUGUUUGAAUGGGGAGAUGAUGAUGAGGACAAAAAUGAGGAUGGACAGAGUGAUGAAGAAAAUGAAGAUGAUGGUGAAGGUGGUAUAGCUACUGACCAACAAGAUGGUGUGUCCGGCUUAUCUUCAUCAUCUUCUAGACCAAAUAAUCCACCAAGUUCACUUGUACAAGAAGAUGAGCAAGUAGGUAGAAAACAAAGUAGGCCAGAUUAUCUAGAAGACUACACAAGUGGGGAAGGUUUAUCCGGAAGUGAUUAUGAGGUUCAAGGUUUAUCUGAAAGUGAUGAUGAGGUUCACAAUUUAGCUGUGUUCAGUGCCGAUGAGGAUCCAGUAAGUUUUGAUGAAGCUGUUCAUUAUGCAGAAUGGAGGGAUGCAAUGAAGUUUGAAAUUGAGGCUAUUGAGAGAAAUGAUACUUGGGAGCUCACAACUCUACCUCAAGGUGUGAAGAAAAUUGGUGUGAAGUGGGUUUCAAGACAAAGUACAAUGAGCAUGGUGAAGUUGACAAAUGCAAGGCUCGACUAGUAGCAAAGGGAUAUGCACAGCAGUUUGGAAUAGACUACAAUGAGGUUUAUGCACCUGUAGCUAGAUGGGAUACAAUUCGGAUGAUUGUGGCUUUGGCAGCUCAAAAAAGCUGGAGUAUCUAUCAACUUGAUGUCAAAAGUGCCUUCUUGUAUGGGGAGUUAGCUGAAGCAGUUUACAUUGAACAGCCACAAGGGUUCAAAAAGAAGGGAGAUGAAGAGAAAGUCUACAAGCUUAAGAAAGCACUUAUGGGCUUAAGUAAGCCCUUAGGGCAUGGUACAGCAAAAUUGAAGGGUACUUUGCCAAAGAAGGGUUUGAGAAGUGUGAUUUUGAGCAUACUUUGUUCAUCAAGGCUGGAGAUGGAGGUAAAGUUCUUAUUGUGAGCUUAUAUGUAGAUGAUUUAAUAUUCACUGGUAAUUGUGAGAGCAUGUUUAACAAGUUUAAGACUUCCAUGAAGCAAGAAUUUGAUAUGAGUGACUUGGGCAAAAUGAAAUACUUUCUUGGAGUUGAAGUGAUACAGAGAUCGGAGGGUAUUUAUAUUUGUCAAAAGAAGUUUGCAAAAGAAGUCUUGGACAGGUUUGGCAUGGAGAAGAGUAUAGUGUGAACAACCCUAUUGUCCCUGGUGUUAAAUUGAUGAGAGAUGAAGGAGGAGUCAAGGUGGACGCCACAAAGUACAAGCAAAUGGCAUGGUCGGAAGCCUUAUGUACUUGACAGUGACAAGACCCGACUUGAUGUAUGUAGUUUGUCUGGCAAGUAGGUUCAUGGCAAAUCCAACAGAGAUGCAUUAACAAGCUUUGAAGAGGGUGCUUCGAUACAUCAAGGGUACUGUGAAUUUGGGGAUACUAUACAAGAAGGGAAGUGGUGAAAAACUAGUUGCUUACACAUAUAGUGACUAUGCAGGUGAUGUAGAUGAUUGUAAAAGCACUUCUGGGUAUGUAUUUUCUUUGUGUGGAGGAGCUGUGUCUUGGGCUUCAAAGAAACAACCAGUGGUCACCUUGUCAACCACCGAGGCAGAAUUUAUAGCAGCAAUGUCAAGACCCACCCCGAAUUUCACCCUGAAACCCGAAGUAAAUCAUGUGGGGACCACCUUUAAGGAAAAUUUACCGAAAAUUCGGCAUAACCUCCCUUGAAAAUAGACAACCAUUCCUAAGAAAACCUGCAUACACUUCCAAUAAACCAAAUCCAACCUUAAACUCCUGGAGCCUUCAUGCUCCCCCAAAUCACAACAUCUCCCAAUUAUUUAAAUAUCUACACAAAUCUCAUAUCCAACCAUUUAUAGGUUCAGAGCAACACUAAUAGGAAGAAAGGAAACAUAAUAAAUUAACAAGCGGAAGCUAUAUGAUGACUAUGCAUCAUCCCCAUGUACGCCCGACCUCAACUAUGCAAUCCUGCAACUGGGCAUUUUAAAACGAAGGGCCCAGGGGAAAACAUUUGAAAAGUGAGUGGACAAUAACAUAAAUUUAAUGAAAAUAUUUAUGCUUUCCCAAUUUACAUUUCCAUAGAAAAUAUGCUGCAUGCGACAGCUCAAAAACGCUCAACACAAAAACUGGCAAUUUCAUGACUAGCUCCGGCCAGUCUCCAAAGUUCAAUAAAAUACAGCCUCUCAGGCUAAAAUAAAAUAUUUAUGUAUUACACUCGUCAUAUCCCUUGUAUGAAUUUUCUUGAAACAACAAAGAUAAAUAGAAAAUUCACCCAAGGCUACGACGCUUGCGUCUAACGCUCACGUCGCACCAUAAUGGCAUUUUACCUCAUUAUGGUGGAAAAGACGGUGUAUAAAUAUAUAUGCACAUAUCCCCUAUAUAAAUUAUUAUAUUUAUAUAGGGCUACGACGAUUGCGUCUAACGCUCACGUCGCACCAUAAUGAAAUUUUACCUCAGUAUGGUGGAAAAGCACGUAUAGCUAGCUAACAUUUCUUUAUAUACAUAUUAUUCUCAUAAUUAUCCAAAUAUGGAUAUAUAUAUAUAUAUACUCACCGAAAUUCUCAAUUUCGGUUAUUCUCCAACAAUAAUGAAAAUUACCAAUUAUCAUAAAAAGCAAUAUGCACACGACUCCACCGAAAAUCUCAUUUUCGGUAACUUUCCAAAUGACACGAUAGCCAUUAAAAAUGAGAACAUUUACUUCUGAAAAUGACUUCGCGAAAAUAAACAAUUCCACAAAUUGAUAUAUUUAAUAAAAUCAAUCAUUUAAUAUAGAAUCACCGCAUGCAUAUAUUUUAAAACAAAAGUCCACUCACAACUUUAGGCCUAAGCCUGACGUCGAUCCGAGGCCUCUUCCACUCGAGCCUCCUCACGUCCUGAUCCAAACAUAUAAUUAAUUUCCCAACUAAAAAUCCAAUAUUUACACAAUAGGCAAAAUUAACCGAGAGCCAUAAACACGCUCAUCAUUGCCUAACUUCGAUAUUCUUAAAUCGAAACGACCCAAACUUUAAUACCAUACUCGGCAGCCGUAAUUACAACCUCCCCAGAACAACGACUUAGAUCCUACGACCGGAAUCUACAUUAUUUAACCACAAAAAAAAAACUAAACUUCGGAAAUUCCCAAACCUAUAUAUCCAAAACUCAUCCAAAAAUUCCAUAACUCACAUCAAUAAACUCCCUUAUAUUCCACACUUAAAACUAUACAAAACUCCCAAACAGCGGCGGCCGGAGGCCGAUUCCGGCGACCUCUAAUGCCUAUGAAAUUUUGACAGAAUAAUCUCCUCAUCAUGCUCUACAACUUUCCUAACUACCACAACACCCAAUUUCAAGCCUAACUAGGCCAAUCGAAUGAAAACACACUAGAAAACCCUAGAGCUUCCACUCACCGGUUCUCCUUACCUAGACCACGAGAGGGCGAGCUCUUUGAGGGAUUGCUGCAUGCGAGGAGAGCUUCACAACGAGCCAAGACUCGUUAGCUAUGGCGGCCGGAGGAGGGAGCUCCGGCGAGAGGACAAUCGGCUUCCAAGGAGGGCUUCCUCUGUUCGGCGGGGUUGCAGCGCCGCUCACCAUCCCAGGAAGGCAGCGGGGAGGACGACAGACCGUGCUGGAGUGGUGCGGCGUCCCUGCUUGGCCGGACGGCGGCGGCGGGCACUGGUCUUCCGGCGAAGUGAGAGAGAGCUCGGGAGAAGAAGAACCGGGGAAAGAAAAGAGAGAAGGAGAAAAAGAGGAGAAGAAGAGAAGAAAAAGAGAGGAGAAAAUGGGGUUUGGGCCUCACACCAACCCGGCCCAACACCACAAUUAAACCUAACUCCACCAUUAAAACACCCUAAAAAUAAAUACCCUAAUAAAAAUUACCUUUUACUAGCUAAAAUUUACCAUUUUUUUACCGUCGUCAUAUUUUUCUCCUACGAAUAAUCCUCCGAAAAUAACCGUCCCCAAAACGCCUCUAGAGACCAAUUAAACUAUAACCUCAAUGACCGAGACGGUAAAAUUCUUAUUAUAAUCAAGCUAGUAAAUAAGUUAAAUAUUUUAGGGUCGGGAUGUGACAAGCAGCUUCUUGUGAUACACAAGGGAUUUGGAUGAGAAGAGUAUUGGAUAAGCUUGGCUGUUCUCAAGAGGGUUGUGUCACAAUUCUAUGUGACAACAGUUCCACCAUAAAGUUGUCCAAAAAUCUUGUUCUUCAUGAUCGUAGUAAGCAUAUUGACAUUCGUUUUCAUUUUCUUCGAUUCGUGAUCUUGCAAGAGAUGGAAAGGUGAAGUUAAUUCAUUGUGGUUCACAAGAACAGGUUGCAGACAUUAUGACAAAGCCUCUCAAGCUUGAUGUGUUCAUGAAGCUGAGAGAGAAGCUAGGAGUUUGUGAAGUUCCAAACGUAAACUGAUUGCUUUGGCAAUUCAGUUUAGGGGAGGAAAUGUUGGGUUUUUAAGAUUUGUUUUGUUUGUUAUUAUUGUUGAUAAUAAUCUCUUGUUAAUAAGGACGUGUAGUUAGUGUUUUACUAAUUCUUGUAAUCGUGUACCACGCUUUAGAGUAGUGGAAGCGUGGGCUACAGUUUCCCUUCUGUUUGUUAUUGAAAGGCUAUAUAUGCCUAAGUUUCUAAGAUAAUGAAUAUUGAGGUAUUCUCCCAAAACAGUGUUGUUUUUUUGAGUAUUUGGGUUCAACAGAUUUAACUUCCCAUGAAUAUCAUCUCCAUCUUCAACUUAAAGCUUUGUAUGAUAAGGAAAUAGUUGUCGGAGGCUGCAAGAGGUGAAGCCAUGACGGUGAGGAAGACGAAGCGAAAGACAAUAUUGACGGCGUUAAGCAUUGUUACAGGUGAAAUGUUGAACUUUUACAUUUAUUAUAGCUUUUGCUGAUGUGGAGUCGUAUUAGCCCUCAGAUAUAUCAUUUACGGUUGAGACUGAAAGCCAAGGAUAACCAAGGCCAACUACCAACCAUAGCGAGGGUCUAUCUCUUGACAAAGUUCCAAACUGUCUUAAAAUAUGAUUAUUAUUUAUUCUGCAACCUCAAAAUGAAAAUCCCAUACGGAAUUAAUUAAGGAGAGUGAGAUUUCAUAAUCCUACUAGGUUACGAAGUCAGAAUCCUGCUUGGAAAUGAAAUAUUUAGCCAUAUAUAAAUACAGAUGUCCCGUUUCAUUUUUGCAUGCACAACCAAUAUUCUAGUCAAGGAUGGCCAUGCUCUCUCUAUAUUUGUCUUACACUAACCUGGGAAACUACCUCACCUGGUUCACCAGGUCUGUUUCCUACAAGCAAUUACAUGAACACAAAAUCUUUACAGGCUCAGUAGUCGAGAACUGCAACGACGACCAAAUCACUUGUCAUGGCUCAGUCGGAUGCUGGCAGUCACCGCCACAAGACGUCAUGGAGGAGAUUCUACAGAAAAUGGGUUUAAUUGCUCGUACACGCUUAGCCAAUGUCUGCAUGUCAUGGAGUUCACUUGUUACGAGAGCUGACAUCCGCAGUGCUCCGCAUCUGCCAUGGUUAGCUCACCCUCAAACCCUAAACACCAACUACUUAACCUUUUCCAGCCUCUCUGAGGGUGAACUUGUGAACUUGGGAUCUCCCAAUCGCGAAGCGAUUCCGAGGACACGGCAAGUUCAAGUUUCAAGCGUCUUCUAAAGGUUGGUUGAUUCUUUGACAAGAAAAAGGACUCAUCAGCAACCUUUGAUAUGUUCCUGUACAAUCCGAUUUCUAGAGCCCAACACCAACUUCCUUCCUUAAACACAAUCCCAUCAUUCCUAUCUUUCCGACUAGCGACAAUGCUAUCGAAAUGGAAGGGUAUCAACAUACAUGCCGAGUAUUUUGUAACUAAAGUUGUGUGUUCUAGUCCAAAUAUCUCAGAAUCCAUUGUGGCUGCCUCACACGGUAUUGGCAUUGUGUAGACCUGGAAACGAAAGCUGGACUGUCUUUGAGAUACUAAAUCCUGAUGAAGAUGAGUCUCGAUCUCUCAUUGAUUUAAUUUUUUCGAAUGGCAGGCUAUACGGUUUAGUUGAUAAUUGUGACGAGUCCAACAAGAAUGGUAUCGGCGCAGCUCGCAUCUUAAACUUUGGCGAUGAUCAGACAAUGACAGUAGAAUUGAAGUUGGUCUAUGGCCAUAAAGAAAUUGGUAACAUGAUUACGGAAAAUCAUGAUGACCACCAACUCUUUUUAAACGGUGAUUUCAACUCAUAUUUGGCAGAAUCAGCAACAAAUAGGGACAAAGAAAUUUUGUUGAUCCAUCAAAGGUUCGACUGUUUACUCGACCUUGUUCAUGAUGAUUUGGAUAUAGAAUAUAAGAGCACAAGAGGGUUUGCAGUAUACAAGAUUGACCUCGUGUCUGGCGAGUUUCAAGAGGUAAAAAACUUGGGGGAUCAAAUAAUAUUUUUGGCAGAACAUAGCUCUUCCUUUGCCUUUGCGGCAAGUGAUUUCAAACUACAAGGAAAUUGCAUCUAUUUUGCAACAAGCGGAUAUGAACAUGACAACCUACCUCGUAAGUUCUCGCUUGGACAAGAUAUAUCUCGUGAAAUGGGAAUCUAUAGUUUGGAUGAUGGAAAGAUUAAGCGACCCUUUCCAAGUCUUGAUGUUGGUAGUAGUUCAUCACCUUGUAAACUAAGUUGGUUCUGUCCGAGUUUAUGACUUGUUCUAGGAUGUUAAGAAUCUGUAUACAGUAUCUAGUUCUUAAUUGUAAUCCAAGUUACGAGUUAUAAACUACUUCACGUACAACUUCAAUGUGUGUAAAUUUUCAUUUACUUCUAUUCAUUUUAUUGUAUAAAUUUGUAGUGGUCGAACGUUUUACAUGAGAGAAAAUGUUGGCAUUUUUGUAGCGCUUUGCUUUUAAAAAGGGAGGAAAUCAAAAUCAUCUUAAGUAGCUGAGGAUGUUAUGAGUAUAGAAGGACACACAUCGCCAAUUAAUGAUUUUCCAACCUAUUGGAGGGCCAAGAAGAAAAUCCUAUAUAUGUAAAGUUUGUGUCCUCGAAGUGGUGGUGCUUAGAUCGAUGGACUCGGUGAGAUCAUCCAAAGUAAACAAUCAAAUUUCGGAAGAACAAUCCACUAUGAGAUAGAAGCUACCAAUUAAUUCUGCUUCAGCGAUGAUCUCAUGAGCUAAUUUUAGCUUAAUAAUAAGCCAAGUGCUCGGCUAUUCUUAACAUGCAGUUCCUUCUUUAUUUUUAAACUAGAGGGCUACUAUGUAAAAUAGUUGCGCCAUGCCUGUCAAUUACACUCACUAUAACAAGAUUAGCUGCUGCAGAUCGAGUUUCUCAGUCUGUAAGCAGAUUAAGUGAAGAUCAAGUAUAAGGUUCGAUCUGUACAUACAACCUGCUUGCAUAUGUAAUUUCUCAUCUAGUAACCCUUAAUUAUAUUUAGGAGAAAUUACUGGUCACUCCAUUAACUUUCAUGCGCUCGACAGUUUACUCCAUUAACUUUCAAUUUCAAUCGAUUACUCCAUUAACUAUCCAAUGUCACACAAUUAGGUCCAUCCGUUAAGUGGCCGUCCAAAUCAGUGGUUAAGUUGCUGACUGGACAUAUUUUUCAACUGGAAAUUUCAUUUAACACCCUAAACUAACUCUCUCUCUCUCUCUCUCUNNNNNNNNNNNNNNNNNNNNNNNNNNNNNNNNNNNNNNNNNNNNNNNNNNNNNNNNNNNNNNNNNNNNNNNNNNNNNNNNNNNNNNNNNNNNNNNNNNNNNNNNNNNNNNNNNNNNNNNNNNNNNNNNNNNNNNNNNNNNNNNNNNNNNNNNNNNNNNNNNNNNNNNNNNNNNNNNNNNNNNNNNNNNNNNNNNNNNNNNNNNNNNNNNNNNNNNNNNNNNNNNNNNNNNNNNNNNNNNNNNNNNNNNNNNNNNNNNNNNNNNNNNNNNNNNNNNNNNNNNNNNNNNNNNNNNNNNNNNNNNNNNNNNNNNNNNNNNNNNNNNNNNNNNNNNNNNNNNNNNNNNNNNNNNNNNNNNNNNNNNNNNNNNNNNNNNNNNNNNNNNNNNNNNNNNNNNNNNNNNNNNNNNNNNNNNNNNNNNNNNNNNNNNNNNNNNNNNNNNNNNNNNNNNNNNNNNNNNNNNNNNNNNNNNNNNNNNNNNNNNNNNNNNNNNNNNNNNNNNNNNNNNNNNNNNNNNNNNNNNNNNNNNNNNNNNNNNNNNNNNNNNNNNNNNNNNNNNNNNNNNNNNNNNNNNNNNNNNNNNNNNNNNNNNNNNNNNNNNNNNNNNNNNNNNNNNNNNNNNNNNNNNNNNNNNNNNNNNNNNNNNNNNNNNNNNNNNNNNNNNNNNNNNNNNNNNNNNNNNNNNNNNNNNNNNNNNNNNNNNNNNNNNNNNNNNNNNNNNNNNNNNNNNNNNNNNNNNNNNNNNNNNNNNNNNNNNNNNNNNNNNNNNNNNNNNNNNNNNNNNNNNNNNNNNNNNNNNNNNNNNNNNNNNNNNNNNNNNNNNNNNNNNNNNNNNNNNNNNNNNNNNNNNNNNNNNNNNNNNNNNNNNNNNNNNNNNNNNNNNNNNNNNNNNNNNNNNNNNNNNNNNNNNNNNNNNNNNNNNNNNNNNNNNNNNNNNNNNNNNNNNNNNNNNNNNNNNNNNNNNNNNNNNNNNNNNNNNNNNNNNNNNNNNNNNNNNNNNNNNNNNNNNNNNNNNNNNNNNNNNNNNNNNNNNNNNNNNNNNNNNNNNNNNNNNNNNNNNNNNNNNNNNNNNNNNNNNNNNNNNNNNNNNNNNNNNNNNNNNNNNNNNNNNNNNNNNNNNNNNNNNNNNNNNNNNNNNNNNNNNNNNNNNNNNNNNNNNNNNNNNNNNNNNNNNNNNNNNNNNNNNNNNNNNNNNNNNNNNNNNNNNNNNNNNNNNNNNNNNNNNNNNNAGUAGAGAGAGAGNGAGAGAGAGAGAGAGAGAGAGAGAGAGUUAGUUUAGGGUGUUAAAUGGAAUUUCCAGUUGAAAAAUAUGUCCAGUCAGCAACUUAACCACUGAUUUGGAUGGCCACUUAACGGAUGGACCUAAUUGUGUGACAUUGGAUAGUUAAUGGAGUAAUCGAUUGAAAUUGAAAGUUAAUGGAGUAAACUGUCGAGCGCAUGAAAGUUAAUGGAGUGACCAGUAAUUUCUCCUUAUAUUUAUUUCGCUCAGUUGCCUAAUUUUUCUUUGAAGAAAAUUUGACACAGACUUGUGGAAGGUUUUCUGAUAUUUUCUUGAUAACAAAGAGUUUACAGAUCUACAUUAUAUAUAUGAGGCUGAGAUGAAACAUGCACAAGACAGCUCACACAAAGAGAAAGUUCUACAAGUAAAGUGAAGAUGUACAGUAAAAAGUAAGACCUAAAAUUAACCAAAGGACAAUAGACCUACUCUCACCAUGUUUCUAGCUACUUCCAAUAUUCUUUUUUUUUUUUUUUGUUACACUACUUCCAAUAUUCUUUGUAAACGAAUGCCCUAAAUUAUUCCGUUUGGUUUAGAAAUCCAAGUGUUAAUUAAAUAAAAGAAAUACAUUUUUUAUUUAAUAAAUUG
rnacentral:lncRNA from 1 species